GGCCUCGUGGCGGAGUGGUCACGCGGGGGAUUGCAAAUCCUCUUCAGCACCGGUUCGAAUCCAGGGCGAGGACUCAA
rnacentral:tRNA from 1 species